GCUGUUCCUUGUCCUGGAGAAACGUCUCAGAGGUCCCCGGAGGGAGCUGGCAAAGCCAAUGACGCCUGAGUGGCUGCUGCCUGCGCCAGAGCUGCAGGGGAGGCUCGGUGCUGGGAAGAAUGCACGUUCCAGGGCCCUCUUUCAGCCUCUCUCAAGCCUGAAUUUGGGAAGACUGCGGCCAGUAAAAAUGCUCCAUAAAAUGUUCCACAUGGUUUCCGGCGCGCGUGCGCUCUGUGAAAUGGCUCGAGAAGCGAUUAGCACGACCAUCCCUCACAUACUUACAUUUUUUUGUGGUGAGAACAUUUAAAGCCCACUCUUUCCAGUUCUUAAGUAUGCAUUAAUAGCUGUAAUCACCAUGUUGUACAUCAGAGCUCCAGAACUUACUCAUCUUAGAGCUGAAACUUUGUGCUCUCUGGCCGGCGUCUCUGCUGCCCCCUCCAGCCCCUGGUAAACACCCUACCGCUCUGGAUUUCAUGAGUUCAACUUGAAUUUUAGCGUCCACGUGUAAGUGAGAGCACGCAGUAUCUGUCUGUCUGUGCCUGGCUUAUUUCACUUGGCAUAAUGUCCUCCACGUUCAUCCAGGUUGUUGCAAAUGACUGAAUCUCAUUCUUUUUUGUUUUUUGAGACGGAGUCUUGCUCUGUCACCCAGGCACCAUCUCAGCUCACUGCAACCUCCGCCUCCCGGGUUCAAGCGAUUCUCCUGACUUAGCCUCUGAGUAGCUGGGAUUACAGGCAUGUGCCACCACGCCCGGCUGAUUUUUGUACCUUUAGUAGAGAUGGGGUCUCACCAUGUUGGCUGGUCUCGAACUCCUGACCUCAGGUGAUCUGCCCGCCUUGGCCUCCCAGAGUGCCGGGGUUACAAGCAUGAGCCACCGCGCCUGGCCUGAAUCUCAUUCAUUUCUAUGGCUGAGUAGUACUCCGCUGUGUAUCUACACUACAUAUGUAAAAUUCACUCAUCUGCCAUCGGACUCUUCCAUAUCUUGGCAGUUGUGGGCAGUGCAGCAGUGAACACGGGGGUGCUGAUGUCUCCCCGAGGUGCAGAGUCCACUUCCCUUGGGUGCCUCCCCAGCAGAGGGAUUGCUGGAUCCUAGGACAGUUGUAUUUUUAAUUUUUUGACGAACUGCCAUAGUGUUUUCCAUAAUGGCUGUACUAAUUUACAUUUCCACCAACACUGCACCAGGGUUCCUCUUGUCCACAUCCUCCCCAACGCUGGCUGGCUUUUGUGUUUUCAUAAUUGCCCUCCUAACAGGUGUGAGGCAAUAGCCCAUUUGGUUUUGAUUUCCAUUUCCCUGAUGAGUGCUGAUGGGACACUUUUGUCAUAUGCCUGUUUCCCAUUAUCCUGUCUUCUUCGGAGAAAUCUCUGUGGAGGUCUUUGACCUGCCUUAAAAUUGAGUUCCUUAUUUUCUUGCUGGUGAGUCCCACAUGUAUCUGGAUGUCCAUUCCUUAUCAAUGUAUGACUGGAAACAUUUUCUCCUGCCCGGAGGAAAUAUUUGUUUUCCUCUGCUUGUUUCCUUUGCUGUGCUGAAGCUGUUUAAUCUGAUGCUGUCUCGCGUGUGUGCGUUUGUGCUGCCUUUGUUUUGAUGUCAUAUUUCCAGGGAUUUCUUAAAAGUGCACCUGCACUCACCGUUGAUGGGAACGCAUGACGGUGCGGCCACUGUGGAAAGCAUUAGGGCUGUUUCUCAAAAAAUUAAAAAUUAAAUUCCACUUCUGGGUAUAUACCUCCCAAAACUGAAAGCAAGGGCACGAAGAGAUAUUCGUCCAUCCCUAUUUGUAGCAGCCAUAUUCACAAUCACCAAAGGUGGACACAACACGGUGUCUCCUGACAGAUGCAUGGUCCAUCCACACAAGGGGAUAUCACUCAAUCUUAAAACCAAAGGAAGCUCUGACACCUACUACAACAUGGAAAGACCCUGGGGACAUACUGCUCAGUGAAGUAAGCCAGUCACAAAGGGACAAGUACUGCAUGAUUCUACUUACAGGAGGUCCCUAGUCAAGUUCACUGAGCCAGACAGUAGGAUGGGGGUUGUCAGAGGCUGGGGAGAGGAAAAAGGGGGAGUUACUGUUUACUGAGUAUAGAGUUUCAGGUGUGCAAGAUGGAAAGUGUUCUGGAAAUGGAUGGUGGUGAUGAAUU
rnacentral:lncRNA from 1 species